rnacentral:misc_RNA from 1 species
GUGAAUCAUCGAAUCUUUGAACGCAAAUUGCACUCUCCUGGGAGAGUAUGGCUGUUUGAGGGUCAGCCUAUAAAAAAUCGACAUCGUUGCUGUUUCGCGGUGACGUUCGUAGGAAAUGGGGUCAUCUUAAAUCCUUUUGGUUUUAAGCGACUUAAUAUUUUUUUUUUGGUUCCUUGAAAGUUUCUAAGAUCUAUUUCUUUACACGUUUAAGGUAUUGAUCU